rnacentral:piRNA from 1 species
UACCUGACCCAUAACUGACAAACAUCA